UUUAUGGAGAGUUUGAUCCUGGCUCAGGAUGAACGCUGGCGGCGUGCCUAAUACAUGCAAGUCGAGCGAACGGACGAGAAGCUUGCUUCUCUGAUGUUAGCGGCGGACGGGUGAGUAACACGUGGAUAACCUACCUAUAAGACUGGGAUAACUUCGGGAAACCGUAGCUAAUACCGGAUAAUAUUUUGAACCGCAUGGUUCAAAAGUGAAAGACGGUCUUGCUGUCACUUAUAGAUGGAUCCGCGCUGCAUUAGCUAGUUGGUAAGGUAACGGCUUACCAAGGCAACGAUGCAUAGCCGACCUGAGAGGGUGAUCGGCCACACUGGAACUGAGACACGGUCCAGACUCCUACGGGAGGCAGCAGUAGGGAAUCUUCCGCAAUGGGCGAAAGCCUGACGGAGCAACGCCGCGUGAGUGAUGAAGGUCUUCGGAUCGUAAAACUCUGUUAUUAGGGAAGAACAUAUGUGUAAGUAACUGUGCACAUCUUGACGGUACCUAAUCAGAAAGCCACGGCUAACUACGUGCCAGCAGCCGCGGUAAUACGUAGGUGGCAAGCGUUAUCCGGAAUUAUUGGGCGUAAAGCGCGCGUAGGCGGUUUUUUAAGUCUGAUGUGAAAGCCCACGGCUCAACCGUGGAGGGUCAUUGGAAACUGGAAAACUUGAGUGCAGAAGAGGAAAGUGGAAUUCCAUGUGUAGCGGUGAAAUGCGCAGAGAUAUGGAGGAACACCAGUGGCGAAGGCGACUUUCUGGUCUGUAACUGACGCUGAUGUGCGAAAGCGUGGGGAUCAAACAGGAUUAGAUACCCUGGUAGUCCACGCCGUAAACGAUGAGUGCUAAGUGUUAGGGGGUUUCCGCCCCUUAGUGCUGCAGCUAACGCAUUAAGCACUCCGCCUGGGGAGUACGACCGCAAGGUUGAAACUCAAAGGAAUUGACGGGGACCCGCACAAGCGGUGGAGCAUGUGGUUUAAUUCGAAGCAACGCGAAGAACCUUACCAAAUCUUGACAUCCUUUGACAACUCUAGAGAUAGAGCCUUCCCCUUCGGGGGACAAAGUGACAGGUGGUGCAUGGUUGUCGUCAGCUCGUGUCGUGAGAUGUUGGGUUAAGUCCCGCAACGAGCGCAACCCUUAAGCUUAGUUGCCAUCAUUAAGUUGGGCACUCUAAGUUGACUGCCGGUGACAAACCGGAGGAAGGUGGGGAUGACGUCAAAUCAUCAUGCCCCUUAUGAUUUGGGCUACACACGUGCUACAAUGGACA
rnacentral:rRNA from 1 species